GCGCGAGCUACCCAAGCACCGCAGACCAGCAUCAAGUUCACACAAGCACCGCGAACCAACGUCAAGCCUACGGAAGCUACCCAAGCACCCCACUUCCCGGAUAUGGAUCACAGAAUGCAUAUGUCUCCCAAGGGUACCCAAGUCCAUACAGCAGCCCAGAUUACGCGACGAGCCUCUACCAGCAGUCUCCUGAGCCAGCGGGAGGCUACGGGGGAUCCGGCUACGGCAGACCUGCAGCCCAAGUUCAUGCCCAGCCAUUGCCUCAGGCUGUUCAUCAGCAGAUGCCAUAUCGUCAUGAUGGUGGUUCCUCAUACCAACCCUAUGGACAGCAGCCUCUUGGUAAGGGCUUAGCUUAUGUCCCAAGCUCUUGUUUGAGUUCACUCUUGAUUACCAAGCACCCAAAUUGAUUCGGAAAUCUGACAAGUUUCUCUUUCGACUGAUUACAGAUGCGCCCUACGUGAACACGAGCUCGCAGUACGGUGCUGCAGUUCCUGCUCCCAUGCCGCCUCCUCACGGAGCUCUUCUGCGUCCAGUUCCUGGGCCGCCGCCUUCGGCACCUCCCCCUCCUGCGUACUACAUGAAUGCACAGCCAGGCCGUUGGUAGCGAGUGCUGGAGCUCCGGGUAUCACAGGAUACCAGAGCAGAGUAGAUAAACGUGACCUACAUGCCUGUAAUUUGCUUUCAAGGUUCCCAGGAUGAGGAAACUGUUCCUAGAAUUGUGACAUUAUGUAUAGUUUUGCACGUAUGAGAAGAUGGCCUUUCCUGGAAAGGAUUAUCAGCAUUGUUUUCCUAAUUGAUCGAGAAAAAUGAUCCUCUGAUCAGUUUCAGUUCAAUGCUUUGCUUAACAGACUUCAUGCCACAGGCGUCACACGUAGGGAUGUAAAUGGCAAAUAAGUAGCGUCCGCAAGUCCCAUUUAAUUAGAUAAACCAUUUAAUUAGCUUUAUCUAGCUCCAUAGUUCAUUUUCCUUGAAAAAAAAAAAAUUGAACUGUGAGACUGAUAGUGGAUUUAAACGGGAUUAAACGGGACCCAGUUCCCAUCCCUAGUUAGUCACACGACAGACAGCCUGGAACAGAGUGUAUGUAUUUUCGAUGAUAAUAGUUCCCAAUGGUAAACUGGCAAACUAGUACUACCAGGGUUUAGCAGCUACAAGCAUAUAAAUUACAUGGUACACGAGAACGUGUAAUCGAGUUUCCACUUGUCGUUCACUGCAAACAGACCGCCAGCCAGGUUGAUGGGAGCACACCAGCUAUUCUAACCCCGCCCUUGAUUCUCCAAAUCAUUUCACAAGAACGAGAAUCAUCUCCUCUUGACGGCUCCGUAGUUCCUCGUGGCCUGCAAAACAACACAACUCUUGUUAACACCGUGUAACGCACGACACUAACGAUAUUUUCCCGUGACGAUUGCGAGGCGACAUCCUUCGCUUNGAUUUUAUCAAGCUCAUUUUUUCUUCAUUGUGCGCAGGUGAUUUUUGUGGAGCUUUCCAGGGAUGAGGCCCAGAGAAACCUAGACGAGAUGAAACGUUUGCUGCCAAGAUCCUCAACUCCCAGCCAUGGCAAUUUCAGUAACCAGAUGGUACGGUGUCAUUCAUUCUUUCUGAAAUUGUUCUGCCCAUGCGUCUUUCCAUAACGAUCCUAAGGCGAUAUAACAGCAAUGUUCUGACUUCUCUGGGAUUAUUUUACAGGUUAGCUCAGCAUAUACCAGGACUGUUUAUGUGGCAGGACCAUCUCUGUCGUCAGGCGUUGAACCACCAAUGAACUACUCAUAUGGACAAGGUGUGCAUGCUCCCGGUGCGCCGGCUGGCUACUCAAAUGCUCCAUAUCGAAUCCAGUCAAGCUACUCAAACGCCCCAUAUCAACAGCAGACAUAUACAAGCUACCCAAAUCCGAGCUAUCCAAACACCGCAGACCGGCAUCAAGUUCGCGCGAGCUACCCAAGCACCGCAGACCAGCAUCAAGUUCACACAAGCACCGCGAACCAACGUCAAGCCUACGGAAGCUACCCAAGCACCCCACUUCCCGGAUAUGGAUCACAGAAUGCAUAUGUCUCCCAAGGGUACCCAAGUCCAUACAGCAGCCCAGAUUACGCGACGAGCCUCUACCAGCAGUCUCCUGAGCCAGCGGGAGGCUACGGGGGAUCCGGCUACGGCAGACCUGCAGCCCAAGUUCAUGCCCAGCCAUUGCCUCAGGCUGUUCAUCAGCAGAUGCCAUAUCGUCAUGAUGGUGGUUCCUCAUACCAACCCUAUGGACAGCAGCCUCUUGGUAAGGGCUUAGCUUAUGUCCCAAGCUCUUGUUUGAGUUC
rnacentral:lncRNA from 1 species